rnacentral:lncRNA from 1 species
UUUUUUUUUUUUUUUUUUGCUUUUUUAGGGCUGCACCAGGGACAUAUGGAAGUUCCCAGGCCAGGGGUUGAAUCAGAGCUGUAGCUGAGGCCUACAAAACAACCACAGAAACAUCAGCUCCAAGGUACAUCUGUGACCUAUGCCACUGUUUGCGGCAAUGCCAGAUCCUUAACCCCACUGAGUAAGGCCAGGGAUUGAACCCACAUCCUCAGGGACACUAUACCAGGUCCUUAACCCACUGAGGCACAAUGGAAACUCCCAAAGCUUUGUCCUUAAAAGUUCCUCUCACCCCUCAGUCUUCUCCCAAGAAGCACUUCUCCCUCCCCACCCCCUCCAGCUCUACUUCUGAGCAACAGCUCUGUGCAUGUGUGUGCGUGUGUGUUGUGUGUGGAGGGGGGCACAGGAGAAAGUGGGAUGUUAGGUGCAACUGUGCUGCCCAGGUUGGUGAGCAGCCAGGGGUAUGAAGGCCUAAGAGGGAUGAGGAGGGAGGGCAAAGCAGGAUCAGCAGAGCCAGGCCCUGCUCAUUGAGUCCCUUGCUGAUGAACAGGCAACGUCUGGCCAGGAUUUCUGUCUCUCCUUCAGGCCAGUCUUUUCCUACAGGGUCUUUCCCCUCAGAUCUCUAUCCCACAGUUGGGUACAGAACCCAGCUCUGGUGUUAAGCCAGCUGGGAUGGUCCUAGCACUGAUGCCCAGCUGUGGAGUCAUGAGCACACAUCUGGUCUGCUGGAGCCUCAGUUUCCCUACUUAGAGAAUAAAAAGAGAAAUUCCUGUCAUGGCUCAGUGAUUAGCAAAUCCGACUAGGAACCAUGAGGUGGCGGAUUCAAUCCCUGGCCUUGCUCAGUGGGUUAAGGAUCUGGUGCUGCCGUGAGCUGUGGUGUAGGCUGGCAGCUGUAGCUCUGAUUGGACCCCUAAGCUGGAAACCUCCAUAUGCCUCAGGUGUGGCCCUAAAAAGACAAAAGCCCCCCCCACCACCAAAAAAAAAGAGAGAGAGAAUUAAAAAGAGAAGCUACAGAGCCCCCAGGAAGACCAUAGCAGUUGUGUGGGACUGGGUUAGGGCCUAAUCACACUUUGAGUGUGUGGCCAUGAGUGUUCCCCUCACAGGGUCCCAGGGUCAGCGGGGGCCUUGAAGCCUGGCUGAUGGGGCAGGGAGAGCAUGUCUGGACUAUGUAGAGAAAAAGUAAGGGCCUCCCUUUCUGGCUAGGUGACCUUGAGAUAGCCUUUUAACCACUUAGGACCUGUUAACCCUCAGAAUGGAGAAUACCUCCCCAGCCAAGGGUGGACAGAGGUGUGGGCAGGGACUUGCCACUUCCCUCAUGCCCUCAGGUUACUCUUUGGCUCUCACAGAGCACAGCUCCAAGCCUGCAACCCACCCACCCACAGCAUGUUACAGAGAAGGGGGCCCCUAGCCCAUCCUCCAGAGGCCAGUUCUGGGGUGGAGAAAGCUGAGCCUCAAUGUCUGGGCGGGGGGCUACGAGGCGGGGCUGUGACAGAGCACAGUCCUUUGACCCCUUGCAGGAGGAUGGUGGGGCAGCCUAGGGACAUAGUUCACCACUACGCCUUUGCUUUGGGGCGCUGGUUCUCUGGGGCUACCUGAAGCAGCAGGCAGUGGGAUUGCUGCAUUCUCCGCCACUGAGAGGCCCUGGCACCUGCUCCCAGGUCAGGCUAGCCUACCUGAGCAGAUGCUGUGGGAGGACUGGAUCUAGAACCACCCACCCUGAGUGGAAAGAGCUUCUGGGUGGCAGUGACUGGGUUUCUAGGGGACACUGGUGCCCUGCUAUAUAUAGGUGGCUCCAGAGCCAGGCACCCUGUGUGACUUGAGCCAGUCACGAAUUUUUAUCUUACAGAAUUGUGGUGGGGAGUAAAUGUGUAUACCUGAUGAUUUUUUUCUCCUUGGGGUCUCCUUCAUAGUCCCACCACCCCCCUGGAUCCCUCUGGCCAUGAACCCAUGUAGACACGAGCCCCAGAAGCAUUCUUUCUCUGGACCAUAUUGCAGCAGGAAGAACUAUGGACAUAUCUGCUCUUCCCACUGGAGCACAGGCCCCUGACAUUUGCAGCGCUCAAGGCAAAGGGACAAAUGAAGGCCCACACCAUAGAAUCUAAAUAUUUAAAAUUCUAAAUCAAGCUACAAACUGCUAACAAAACAUGUUAUGCCCUCCUAUUCAGCAAAUAAACCUUCAUAACAAUAAAAAAAAAUCUGUAAACCUAUGGUUUUUAUGUCUGAAAGCCAUACAGAAAUAUCAGAAAGUCAGACAUCAAAGAUGACUGAAUUUAAUGAUUAUUGCUCAUGUCCAGGUGUUUAGUGAUGUUAAGUGAAUAAAAAGAUAAAGACACGGAGUUCCCAUCAUGGUGCAGCAGAAAUGAAUCUGACAGGGAACCAUGAGGUUGCGGGUUCAAUCCCUGGCCUCGCUCAGUGGGUUAAGGAUCCGGUGUUGCCGUGAGCUGAGGUGUAGGUCGGCAGCUGUAGCUCUGACUGGACCCCUAGCCUGGGAACCUCCAUAUGCCGUGGGUACGGCCCCAAAAAAACCAAAAAAAAAAAAAAAAAGAAAAAAAAAGAUAAAGAUAUGCCUAAUUCAUAAGGUAUUGUAUAUAUAUAUUCUGUAACAUUUACUGUUCUUGCUUUUAUUCUAGUAAAACUAUUGAUUAUGUUGUUAUAAUCAAGAUUUCUACAUAAUUACUAAUCUAUUGGCAGAAAUGAUUUGAAAGAGUAAAAUGGCAUAUUAGAUUCAAAGACCACAAAAAUAGAAAUUAAAUUUAAAAUAUUUAAAAAUUGAACAUAAUUAAAUAUAUUCCAGGACUUCCCGUCGUGGCUCAGUGGUUGAUGAAUCCAACUAGGAACCAUGAGGUUGAGGGUUCAAUCCCUGGCCUCGCUCAGUGGGUUAAGGACCCGGCAUUGCCGUGAGCUGUGGUGUAGGCCGCAAAUGCAGCUGGGAUCCCGCAUAGCUGUGGCUCUGGCGUAGGCCAAUGGCUGCAGCUCCAAUUAGACCCCUAGCCUAGGAACCUCCAUAUGCUGGGGCUGCGGCCCUAGAAAAGACAUAAAGACCAU